rnacentral:tRNA from 1 species
GCAACCAUAGCUCAGCGGAUAGAGCAACUGCCUUCUAAGCAGUUGGUCGCAGGUUCGAGUCCUGCUGGUUGUA